rnacentral:rRNA from 1 species
GACGAACGCUGGCGGCGUGCUUAACACAUGCAAGUCGAACGGAAAGGCCCUGCUUUUGUGGGGUGCUCGAGUGGCGAACGGGUGAGUAACACGUGAGUAACCUGCCCUUGACUUUGGGAUAACUUCAGGAAACUGGGGCUAAUACCGGAUAGGAGCUCCUGCUGCAUGGUGGGGGUUGGAAAGUUUCGGCGGUUGGGGAUGGACUCGCGGCUUAUCAGCUUGUUGGUGGGGUAGUGGCUUACCAAGGCUUUGACGGGUAGCCGGCCUGAGAGGGUGACCGGCCACAUUGGGACUGAGAUAGGGCCCAGACUCCUACGGGAGGCAGCAGUGGGGAAUAUUGCACAAUGGGCGGAAGCCUGAUGCAGCAACGCCGCGUGCGGGAUGAAGGCCUUCGGGUUGUAAACCGCUUUCGCCUGUGACGAAGCGUGAGUGACGGUAAUGGGUAAAGAAGCACCGGCUAACUACGUG